UACGAAGGGGGCUAGCGUUGCUCGGAAUUACUGGGCGUAAAGGGAGCGUAGGCGGGUUAUCAAGUUGGAGGUGAAAGCCCAGGGCUCAACCUUGGAAUUGCCUUCAAAACUGAUAACCUAGAGGAUGAUAGAGGUAAGUGGAACUCCGAGUGUAGAGGUGAAAUUCGUAGAUAUUCGGAAGAACACCAGUGGCGAAGGCGACUUACUGGAUCGGCAUUGACGCUGAGGCGCGAAAGCCAGGGGAGCAAACGGG
rnacentral:rRNA from 1 species